AUUGAACGCUGGCGGAAUGCUUUACACAUGCAAGUCGAACGGCAGCACGGACUUCGGUCUGGUGGCGAGUGGCGAACGGGUGAGUAAUGUAUCGGAACGUGCCCAGUCGUGGGGGAUAACGUAGUGAAAAUUACGCUAAUACCGCAUACGAUCUAUGGAUGAAAGCGGGGGAUCGCAAGACCUCGCGCGAUUGGAGCGGCCGAUAUCAGAUUAGGUAGUUGGUGGGGUAAAGGCCCACCAAGCCAACGAUCUGUAGCUGGUUCGAGAGGACGACCAGCCACACUGGAACUGAGACACGGGCCAGACUCCUACGGGAGGCAGCAGUGGGGAAUUUUGGACAAUGGGCGAAAGCCUGAUCCAGCCAUUCCGCGUGCAGGAUGAAGGCCCUCGGGUUGUAAACUGCUUUUGUACAGAACGAAAAGGUUUCUACUAAUACUAGGAACUCAUGACGGUACUGUAAGAAUAAGCACCGGCUAACUACGUGCCAGCAGCCGCCGUAA
rnacentral:rRNA from 1 species